UACGAAGGGGGCUAGCGUUGCUCGGAAUCACUGGGCGUAAAGGGUGCGUAGGCGGGUUUUUAAGUCAGGGGUGAAAUCCUGGAGCUCAACUCCAGAACUGCCUUUGAUACUGAAGAUCUUGAGUCCGGGAGAGGUGAGUGGAACUGCGAGUGUAGAGGUGAAAUUCGUAGAUAUUCGCAAGAACACCAGUGGCGAAGGCGGCUCACUGGCCCGGUACUGACGCUGAGGCACGAAAGCGUGGGGAGCAAACGGGG
rnacentral:rRNA from 1 species